UACGGGGGGGGCAAGCGUUGUUCGGAAUUACUGGGCGUAAAGGGCUCGUAGGCGGCCAACUAAGUCAUACGUGAAAUCCCUCGGCUUAACCGGGGAACUGCGUCUGAUACUGGAUGGCUUGAGUUCGGGAGAGGGAUGCGGAAUUCCAGGUGUAGCGGUGAAAUGCGUAGAUAUCGGGAGGAACACCUGAGGCGAAGGCGGGCUACUGGGCCGAUACUGACGCUGAUGUGCGAAAGCCAGGGGAGCGAACGGG
rnacentral:rRNA from 1 species